CAGAAAGUUCAGUUUCAGUUGUAGCCGCAUCAAAACAAGGAAGUCUCGCCUCCGGUGUCGUUUUUCACCAAUGUGUGUCCAUCUGUAAAUUCAAAUGUUAUCAAGGUGGCGGACAAAAAAAUCCCGGCGGGCAGAUUAGAACAGUUUGGCUGAGGACAAAAAUGAAGACAAUACAAUCCGGAACCGAUUUCAUCAAGAACCUACACACUUUGGAGUGCCAG